AUAAUCUCUGGCAGUGUUCUUGAACUUCUUCGAUAUCAUAUUGAGUUAGCACUGAAGAAGAAUUGCCCAUAGUCCCACUGAUAAUCUUUAAACU